AGUCUGUUGCACCGGAGCUGUCGGCCAUGCUGUUCCAGUUCAGGGGCUCCUGCAACAGAAAAGAUCAGCUGUUGGAGAACCCAUGGAAAGCCCUGGGGGAGAGCCAUGGCCGCAAGGGGGGGGAUGGACACAUGGACACUCGUUGGGUGGAUUUUUCUUUGUCUUCCAGAAAUUGCUCUAAAUGGAGAGGAUAUCAUACUGCAGCACCUAAUUACAAGCAGUGACUUUAUUUCUGAGCUCCCUGUGGCAGGACUCACUGCAGUAACACCAGGCUCCCACCAGCUGGGACUCCUAAUCAGGCACAAACGUACACCUUGUGAUGGAUACACAAAUGUAUACAUCACAGGCACCUGCCUUCUCCUUUCUCCCCAUGGCAAAUAGCAUGGCAGGAGGCUCUGCCUGGACCCCAGCAGCUACCUCUAAAACUCAAGAUAAAGUCUUAGGGACAGAUCUUCAGCAAGUGCAACUCCAUUGGAAACAGCAUCCUCUUCCUUAUAAUUAAUUGAUGUAACAUCAUCCUUCUCUUUAUCUGGGGCAAAUCCUAACAGGAAAAUAAUCUGAGAGUGACCUAAAUCAUGGAUUCAUACCACUGCUGGCCACGGUGGACAGGCGUUGGACUUGAAGGAGAGCCCCAGCCCUGCCCCAAGCAUCCCCCAUACUGAGAGCCGGGGCUGCACACUGGGUGGGCACACACAGUGCGUGGUCCCAUGGUCGGCCCCUGCUGCCAGGCUCUGGGGCAGGAUGACAGCAGUUCCCUGUGCUCUGAAAACCUCUUCUCUCUGCGGGGAGGAGGCACAGCCACAGCCCCCAGCCAACACCGAGCACUGCUCUGAGUGGAGCCGCUGCUCCGGGCAGGUGGGAGCAGCCCACAGCGCUGCGCUGCAUCACAGCUUCCGGAUCCCCCUCUCCAUCUCUAAUUAAGAUUCAAAUUGAGUAUAGAAAUUAUGUGUAAGUAAGAUGCUAAUUAUUAAAGUCAUUGAUCUCCC
rnacentral:lncRNA from 7 species